GGCGAGAUAGCUCAGGCGGUUAGAGCGCAGGAUUCAUAACCCUGAGGUCGAGGGUUCAACUCCCUCUCUCGCUA
rnacentral:tRNA from 1 species